CAGUCGCCGCGGGAACACCAGCACCUCGAGUGGUCAGGAGGUUUAUUGGGCCUAAAGCAUCCGUAGCCGGUUGCAUAAGUUUUCGGUUAAAUCUAUGCGCUUAACGUAUAGGCCGCCGAAAAUACUGUGCAGCUAGGGAGUGGGAGAGGUACACGGUACUCGAUAGGAAGGGGUAAAAUCCUUUGAUCUAUUGAUGACCACCUGUGGCGAAGGCGGUGUACCAGAACACGUUCGACGGUGAGGGAUGAAAGCUGGGGGAGCAAACCGGAUUAGAUACCCCAGUAGUCCCUGUCUCUUAUAC
rnacentral:rRNA from 1 species